GUAGCAGAGCAGCUCCCUCGCUGCG
rnacentral:piRNA from 3 species